rnacentral:rRNA from 1 species
GAUGAACGCUAGCGACAGGCCUAACACAUGCAAGUCGAGGGGCAGCACAUGAGUAGCAAUACGAUGGUGGCGACCGGCGCACGGGUGAGUAACACGUAUGCAACCUACCUGUAAGAGGGGAAUAACCCGGAGAAAUUCGGACUAACACCGCAUAAUACCUCGAAGCUGCAUGGCUUUGAGGUUAAAUAUUUAUAGCUUACAGAUGGGCAUGCGUAACAUUAGAUAGUUGGUGAGGUAACGGCUCACCAAGUCAACGAUGUUUAGGGGUUCUGAGAGGAAGGUCCCCCACACUGGUACUGAGACACGGACCAGACUCCUACGGGAGGCAGCAGUGAGGAAUAUUGGUCAAUGGGCGAGAGCCUGAACCAGCCAAGUCGCGUGAAGGAAGAAGGUUCUAUGGAUUGUAAACUUCUUUUGUAAGGGAAUAAAAGAGUUACGUGUAACUUAUUGUAUGUACUUUACGAAUAAGGAUCGGCUAACUCCGUGCCAGCAGCCGCGGUAAACUCGU